GACGAACGCUGGCGGCGUGCUUAACACAUGCAAGUCGAGCGGAAAGGCCCUUCGGGGUACUCGAGCGGCGAACGGGUGAGUAACACGUGAGUAACCUGCCCCUGACUCUGGGAUAAGCCC
rnacentral:rRNA from 1 species